rnacentral:lncRNA from 1 species
GAAGAGCAGUGCUGAAUUCCUGUUAAUAAAACCAGAAUAAAAGCAGUCAGUUGCAGAAAACAGCAAUCAGUCUGCUACUAUGACCCAUCAAACAUCCAAAGAGCACCGUCCAAUUUGGUCCCAUUUCAUUGUCAUUACUGGUGACUCUGGGCUACACCCAAGAAAGGUGAGUCAGAACUCCACAAUAAGUAUUGUAGAUCUAACGCCGAAGAGGCUUUGCCCUUACAAGUACAUUAUAUAAUACUAAAUAUAUAAAGGCAGGUGCUGAGUUAAAAAGAAAUCAGUGACUUUAACAAGUCG